UAGGGCGUAGCCAAAUUGGUAAGGCACCAGUUUUUGGUACUGGAGAUUGUAGGUUCGAGUCCUACCGCCCUAGCCA
rnacentral:tRNA from 1 species